GGAGUGGAUCAACCUGAGCUUAGAGUGCUA
rnacentral:piRNA from 1 species